CCCUUAGAUGCUCUGGGCCGCACGCGCGCUACACUGGUCGAUGCAACGAGUUUCUUUCCUUGGCCGACAGGCCUGGGCAAUCUUUGAACAUCGAUCGUGAUCGGGAUAGAUUCUUGUAAUUUUUGAUCUUAAACGAGGAAUUCCUAGUAAACGCAAGUCAUCAGCUUGCAUUGAUUACGUCCCUGCCCUUUGUACACACCGCCCGUCGCACCUGCCGAUUGAAUGGUCCGGUGAAAUCUCCGGACUGGCGUGAGUCGGAGCAAUCUGACAAACGCCGGAAAGUUGAUUAAACCUUACCAUUUAGAGGAAGGUGAAGUCGUAACA
rnacentral:rRNA from 1 species